rnacentral:rRNA from 1 species
CCUACGGGUGGCAGCAGUGAGGAAUAUUGGUCAAUGGGCGUAAGCCUGAACCAGCCAAGUCGCGUGAGGGAUGAAGGUUCUAUGGAUCGUAAACCUCUUUUAUAAGGGAGUAAAGUGCGGGAUGUGUCCCGUUUUGUAUGUACCUUAUGAAUAAGGAUCGGCUAACUCCGUGCCAGCAGCCGCGGUAAUACGGAGGAUCCGAGCGUUAUCCGGAUUUAUUGGGUUUAAAGGGUGCGUAGGCGGCCUGUUAAGUCAGCGGUGAAAGUCUGUGGCUCAACCCUAGAAUUGCAGUUGAAACUGGGAGGCUGGAGUAUGUUAGAGGUAGGCGGAAUGCGUGGUGUAGCGGUGAAAUGCGUAGAUAUCAGGCAGAACCCCGAUGGCGAAGGCAGCCUGCCAGGCCAUGACUGACGCUGAUGCACGAAAGCGUGGGGAUCAAACAGGAUUAGAUACCCUUGUAGUC